rnacentral:rRNA from 1 species
CCUACGGGAGGCAGCAGUGAGGAAUAUUGGUCAAUGGACGAGAGUCUGAACCAGCCAAGUAGCGUGAAGGAUGACUGCCCUAUGGGUUGUAAACUUCUUUUAUAUGGGAAUAAAAUGUUCCACGUGUGGGAUUUUGUAUGUACCAUAUGAAUAAGGAUCGGCUAACUCCGUGCCAGCAGCCGCGGUAAUACGGAGGAUCCGAGCGUUAUCCGGAUUUAUUGGGUUUAAAGGGAGCGUAGGUGGAUUGUUAAGUCAGUUGUGAAAGUUUGCGGCUCAACCGUAAAAUUGCAGUUGAAACUGGCAGUCUUGAGUACAGUAGAGGUGGGCGGAAUUCGUAGUGUAGCGGUGAAAUGCUUAGAUAUCACGAAGAACUCCGAUUGCGAAGGCAGUUCACUGGACUGCAACUGACACUGAGGCUCGAAAGUGUGGGUAUCAAACAGGAUUAGAUACCCCUGUAGUC